rnacentral:rRNA from 1 species
AUUGAACGCUGGCGGCGUGCUUAACACAUGCAAGUCGAUCGGUAACAGGUGUAGCAAUACAUGCUGACGAGAGGCGGACGGGUGAGGAACGCUUGGGAAUCUGCCUAUCAGCGGGGGACAACCCGGGGAAACCCGGGCUACUACCGCAUACGCGCUACUGAGGAAAGCCGGGGACCGCAAGGCCAGGCUCUGGUAGCUGAGCCCCAGUCGGAUUAGCUAGUUGGCGGGGUAACGGCCCACCAAGGCGACGAUCCGUAGCUGGUCUGAGAGGACGAUCAGCCACACCGGAACUGAGACACGGUCCGGACUCCUACGGGAGGCAGCAGUGGGGAAUAUUGGACAAUGGGCGAAAGCCUGAUCCAGCGACGCCGCGUGGGUGAAGAAGGCCUGCGGGUUGUAAAGCCCUUUCGGUAGGGACUAAAGCUCUUGCUCUAACAAAGCAGGAGGUUGACUUAACCUACAUAAGAAGCACCGGCUAACUCUGUGCCAGCAGCCGCCGUAACAC